rnacentral:rRNA from 1 species
AAGCGCUCUUUUGGGCGCGUUGCUGGACGAAUUUACCACCUAUCAGGUAGAUGGUAGUGUAGUGGACUACCAUGCCAGUGACGGGUAACGGGGGAUUGGGGUUCGAUUCCGGAGAGGGUGCCUGAGAAAUGGCAACCAUCGCUAUGGCGAGCAGCAGGCGCGCAAAUUGCCCAAUGCCGACUCGGUGAGGCAGCGACGAAAAAUAACAACUUCACCGCCUUAUGGCAUGAAGAUUGUAAUGAUUUGUAAACACACGUACUAAGAGUAUCCAUUGGAGGACAAGUCUGGUGCCAGCACCCGCGGUAAUACCAGCUCCAAGAGCGUAUAUUAAUGUUGCUGCGGUUAAAAAGCUCGUAGUUGGACGUAAGAGCCAAGGCUGUGGUUGGGUCCGUCGGCUGGAAGCUUCGGCCGAAGGCUGUCGUGAUCUGCCACAAUAUGCCGAGGCUCUUUCAUCUUGUGGGAGUGGUUGCUUGCCGAAGCCACCUUAACUGGUGUGUGGAAGCUCUUUCGGAGUCUCUCGCUCCAUAAGGCACGCCCACAGAUGUUACUGUGAGUAAAACAGAAUGUUCAAAGUAAUCGGCUUGCCGAUUGAAUGUCAAAGCAUGGAAUAACAAGGGAUCGACCACUGUGGCCUCUUUUUGUUGGUUUUCACGCCUCAGUGUGGUAACUCCGCGCAGGACUUCUCUUGGGCGUUCCUGGGUUCCUACUCAGGUCGUCCUUGUAGAGUCCUGUUGCAUUCGGGAUCAAUAGGAGCGCGGGGAGCAAUCAGUACUUCGGGGUGAGAGGUGAAAUUCAUAGACCCCCGAAAGACUAACAUCAGCGAAAGCCGUUUGCUAUCGCGCUUUCAUUAAUCAAGAACGAGAGAAAGGGGAUCGAAGAUGAUCAGAUACCGUCGUAGUCCUUUCCGUAAAUGAUGCAGACUUGGGAUCGGUCACUGUUCUUCUAGUGACAUGAUCGGCACCUCAUUCCCUGUCGAGAAAUCAAAGUCUUUGUGUUCCGGGGGGAGUAUAUUCGCAAGGCUGAAACUUAAAGGAAUUGACGGAGAACCACCACCAGACGUGGAGUGUGUGGCUUAAUUCGACCCAACACGGGAAAUCUUACCAGGCCAGGACAUGGUAAGGAUUGCCAGAUUGAAAGCUCUUGCAUGAUCCCAUGAAGGGUAGUGCAUGGCCGCUUCUGGUUGGUGGAGUGAUUUGUCUGCUUAAUUGCGUUAACGAACGAGAUCUCUGCCAAUAAAUAGAUGGCUGUUCCGCUUUAGGUUAUCUUUCGAGAAUUGGUUCUGCCAAGGCUCGUUGGGUGCUGAGGAGCAGUCUAUUACUUAUUGGGAUUAUGCAACCCUCAAUUGCAUUGAAACGAGAGCCAAAAGCAGGUCUGUGAUGCUCCUAUAUGUCCUGGGCCGCACGCGCACUACACUGACACAGAAAACGAGCAUUCCGCUUGCGGCCUGCGCCGAAGGGUGCGGGAAAUCUUUUAAACCUGUGUCGUGAUGGGGAUAGAUCAUUGAAAUUAUUGUCCUUGAACGAGGAAUGUCUUGUAGGCGCGUUUCAUCAGAACGCACCGAAUACGUCCCUGGUUCUUGUACACACCGCCCGUCGUUGCCUGUAAUGGCAUGUGAGUAGAACCGUUUGGAGGUUCCGGUGCUUGCAUCGGUCCAAAAUUCGGUAAUACUUGCAUGCUAGAAGAGGCAAAAGUCGUAACAAG